rnacentral:tRNA from 1 species
GCCGGCGUGGCGGAACUGGCAGACGCGCUGGACUCAAAAUCCAGUACUCGCAAAAGUGUGUGGGUUCGCGCCCCUCCGCCGGCA